rnacentral:rRNA from 1 species
UACGUAGGGUCCGAGCGUUGUCCGGAUUUAUUGGGCGUAAAGAGCUCGUAGGCGGUUCCGUAAGUCAGAUGUGAAAACUCAGGGCUCAACCCGGAGACGCCAUCUGAUACUGCGGUGACUGGAGUCUGGUAGGGGAACACGGAAUUCCUGGUGUAGCGGUGAAAUGCGCAGAUAUCAGGAGGAACAUCGGUGGCGAAGGCGCUCUGCUGGACCAUAACUGACACUCAGGGACGAAAGCUAGGGGAGCGAAUGGG